rnacentral:lncRNA from 1 species
AUGGGCAACAGAAUAUGCAAUAGAACGGGCACUAGAACGGGCAUUAGAACGGGCACUAGAACGGGCACUAGAACGGGUACUAGAACGGGCAAUAGAACGGGCACUAGAACAGGCAAUAGAACGGGCAAUAGAACGGGCACUAGAACGGGCAAUAGAACGGGCACUAGAACGGGCAAUAGAACGGGCACUAGAACGGGCAAUAGAACGGGCACUAGAACGGGCAAUAGAAUGGGCAAUAGAACGGGCACUAGAACGGACACUAGAACGGGCAAUAGAACUGGCACUAGAACGGGCAAUAGAACGGGCAAUAGAACGGGCACCAGAACGGGCAAUAGAACGGGCAAUAGAACGGGCACUAGAACGGGCAAUAGAACGGGCAAUAGAACGGGCACUAGAACGGACACUAGAACGGGCACUAGAACGGGCAAUAGAACUGGCACUAGAACGGGCAAUAGAACGGGCACCAGAACGGGCAAUAGAACGGGCAAUAGAACGGGCACUAGAACGGGCACUAGAACGGGCACUAGAACGGGCAAUAGAACGGGCACUAGAACGGGCAAUAGAAUGGGCAAUAGAACGGGCAAUAGAACGGGCAAUAGAACGGGCACUAGAACGGGCAUUAGAACGGGCACUAGAACGGGCACUAGAACGGGUACUAGAACGGGCAAUAGAACGGGCAAUAGAACGGACACUAGAACGGGCACUAGAACAGGCAAUAGAACGGGCAAUAGAACGGGCACUAGAACGGGCAAUAGAACGGGCACUAGAACGGGCAAUAGAACGGGCACUAGAACGGGCAAUAGAACGGGCACUAGAACGGGCAAUAGAACGGGCAAUAGAACGGGCACUAGAACGGACACUAGAACGGGCAAUAGAACUGGCACUAGAACGGGCAAUAGAACGGGCAAUAGAACGGGCACCAGAACGGGCAAUAGAACGGGCAAUAGAACGGGCACUAGAACGGGCAAUAGAACGGGCACUAGAACGGACACUAGAACGGGCACUAGAACGGGCAAUAGAACUGGCACUAGAACGGGCAAUAGAACGGGCACCAGAACGGGCAAUAGAACGGGCAAUAGAACGGGCACUAGAACGGGCACUAGAACGGGCACUAGAACGGGCAAUAGAACGGGCACUAGAACGGGCAAUAGAAUGGGCAAUAGAACGGGCAAUAGAACGGGCAAUAGAACGGGCACUAGAACUAAUAAGGAAACCCGCUGUAGAAGGGUCAUAAAAUGGGUUGCACUUUGA